rnacentral:rRNA from 1 species
CGAGCGUUGUCCGGAAUUACUGGGCGUAAAGAGCUCGUAGGUGGUUUGUCGCGUUGUUCGUGAAAUCUCACGGCUUAACUGUGAGCGUGCGGGCGAUACGGGCAGACUUGAGUACUGCAGGGGAGACUGGAAUUCCUGGUGUAGCGGUGGAAUGCGCAGAUAUCAGGAGGAACACCGGUGGCGAAGGCGGGUCUCUGGGCAGUAACUGACGCUGAGGAGCGAAAGCGUGGGGAGCGAACAGGAUUAGAUACCCUGGUAGUCCACGCCGUAAACGGUGGGUACUAGGUGUGGGUUUCCUUCCUUGGGAUCCGUGCCGUAGCUAACGCAUUAAGUACCCCGCCUGGGGAGUACGGCCGCAAGGCUAAAACUCAAAGAAAUUGACGGGGGCCCGCACAAGCGGCGGAGCAUGUGGAUUAAUUCGAUGCAACGCGAAGAACCUUACCUGGGUUUGACAUGCACAUGACGCCGGCAGAGAUGUCGGUUCCCUUGUGGCCUGUGUGCAGGUGGUGCAUGGCUGUCGUCGGCUCGUGUCGUGAGAUGUUGGGUUAAGUCCCGCAACGAGCGCAACCCUUGUCUCAUGUUGCCAGCGGGUAAUGCCGGGGACUCGUGAGAGACUGCCGGGGUCAACUCGGAGGAAGGUGGGGAUGACGUCAAGUCAUCAUGCCCCUUAUGUCCAGGGCUUCACACAUGCUACAAUGGCCGGUACAAAGGGCUGCGAUGCCGCGAGGUUAAGCGAAUCCUUUUAAAGCCGGUCUCAGUUCGGAUCGGGGUCUGCAACUCGACCCCGUGAAGUCGGAGUCGCUAGUAAUCGCAGAUCAGCACGCUGCGGUG